rnacentral:rRNA from 1 species
GGUUGACCUCGGAUCAGGUAGGGAUACCCGCUGAACUUAAGCAUAUCAAUAAGCGGAGGAAAAGAAACCA